CUGGCGCGCACGCGGCACCAUCUCAGUCCCGACAGUGAGCCAGGACAGGCACAAUGGGAGAGAAGCGGGGGCCGGAGGGCAAGAGCUGGCCUCAGACUACCCGGGAACUAGAACCUGAGCUAGACUCUCCCGAGGCCGUAGCCCUGGAGCGCCGACCCGCCGCACACGCAGCUCCUCCCAGCGCCGCUCCCGGCAGGGGCGGCGCCGCUGAGUUGGUCCGAGGGGAUUUGCCCAGGCUCGGCUGGGGGCGGGGAAUGCCCCCCUCCCAGCCCCUACUAGCCACGCCCCGUCCCCCGCCCCUGGGCCCCGCAGGAAAUAGGGGUGGGUCCCGGGCCUAACGUGGCGGUAGGGGGAGUAAGGAUGCGGCGGAGGGCAGAGUCCGGGAGGGCCUGGCUGCCGGGGAAUGAAGCCUCCGCCUUCUCCGGUGGAAGCCUUUAAAUACGGGCUCCGGCUGGGCACUCGGGGUGAGGCGUCUGGCAGCCUGAGAGGGGUGUGCGGUGAACAGGGAUCAGA